rnacentral:rRNA from 1 species
UACGAAGGGGGCUAGCGUUGUUCGGAAUUACUGGGCGUAAAGGGCGCGUAGGCGGUCCGAUAAGUCCCGUGUGAAAGCCCCCGGCUCAACUGGGGAACUGCACGGGAAACUGACGGACUUGAGUUCGGGAGAGGGAAGCGGAAUUCCGGGUGUAGCGGUGAAAUGCGCAGAUAUCAGGAAGAACACCUAUGGCGAAGGCAGCUCUCUGGGACGGUACUGACGCUGAGACGCGAAAGCGUGGGGAGCGAACAGG